GUUUCUUCAACUUUUCAUAGGCAUAGAAGGACAUCUACCACCUGGAGCCUCCAGGUUUAGGUUUCUAGCAAGGGCGACGGUGUAUGAAGAUCGAGCUGAUAUUUCAAUUCCUGUAUAAGAAUGGCGAUUGCGGAGUUGAAAAAAUUGGUGACGAGAUUGAAGAGGAAGCUUGUGGGGAAGAAGAAGAAGAAAUUGAAGAAGCUUCUGAUGAAAACGAACAGCAGGUGUGCAUAUAGCAAGUUGGAUAAGAGCGAAAGCACGAGAAUCGAAAUGCGAAGCGACAAGCUAGGCUCGCAAGAUCGUAGUUUGGACUCUCGAUCGGAAUUGCUGAUGAUUUCCGCUUAAUCGACGUUGUUCGUUUUGAAUUGAAUUUGUUGUGUUUACAGUUACACACGUACGCGUGUCUGUGAGAGAUUCCGGGUUUCCGGCCGGCCGCCGGUUUUUGUUCCGAUAUGGGAUGGAUAGGAUGUGUGUAAGGGGUUCAUCAUGCCGUAUCAUAUUCAUAUUCAUAUAUUGGUGUAUGUUAAGGUUGAUCAUUUCUUGUGUGAUAACAAGUUGAUACGGAGUAUUAUAUAGUGUAUGUUGGAUUACAACUUAAGAUAAAUUUUCGAUCAAGAACA